ACUAAGCGUACACGGUGGAUGCCCUGGCAGUCAGAGGCGAUGAAGGACGUGCUAAUCUGCGAAAAGCGUCGGUAAGGUGAUAUGAACCGUUAUAACCGGCGAUGUCCGAAUGGGGAAACCCAGUGCAAUUCGUUGCACUAUCGUUAACUGAAUACAUAGGUUAACGAGGCGAACCGGGGGAACUGAAACAUCUAAGUACCCCGAGGAAAAGAAAUCAACCGAGAUUCCCCCAGUAGCGGCGAGCGAACGGGGAGCAGCCCAGAGUCUGAAUCAGCUUGUGUGUUAGUGGAACGGUCUGGAAAGUCCGACGGUACAGGGUGAUAGUCCCGUACACCAAAAUGCACAGGUUGUGAACUCGAAGAGUAGGGCGGGACACGUGGUAUCCUGUCUGAAUAUGGGGGGACCAUCCUCCAAGGCUAAAUACUCCUGACUGACCGAUAGUGAACCAGUACCGUGAGGGAAAGGCGAAAAGAACCCCGGCGAGGGGAGUGAAAAAGAACCUGAAACCGUGUACGUACAAGCAGUGGGAGCACCUUCGGGUGUGACUGCGUACCUUUUGUAUAAUGGGUCAGCGACUUAUAUUCUGUAGCAAGGUUAACCGUAUAGGGGAGCCGCAGGGAAACCGAGUCUUAACUGGGCGUUAAGUUGCAGGGUAUAGACCCGAAACCCGGUGAUCUAGCCAUGGGCAGGUUGAAGGUUGGGUAACACUAACUGGAGGACCGAACCGACUAAUGUUGAAAAAUUAGCGGAUGACUUGUGGCUGGGGGUGAAAGGCCAAUCAAACCGGGAGAUAGCUGGUUCUCCCCGAAAGCUAUUUAGGUAGCGCCUCGUGAACUCAUCUUCGGGGGUAGAGCACUGUUUCGGCUAGGGGGUCAUCCCGACUUACCAACCCGAUGCAAACUACGAAUACCGAAGAAUGUUAUCACGGGAGACACACGGCGGGUGCUAACGUCCGUCGUGAAGAGGGAAACAACCCAGACCGCCAGCUAAGGUCCCAAAGUCAUGGUUAAGUGGGAAACGAUGUGGGAAGGCACAGACAGCCAGGAUGUUGGCUUAGAAGCAGCCAUCAUUUAAAGAAAGCGUAAUAGCUCACUGGUCGAGUCGGCCUGCGCGGAAGAUGUAACGGGGCUAAACCAUGCACCGAAGCUGCGGCAGCGACACUAUGUGUUGUUGGGUAGGGGAGCGUUCUGUAAGCCUGCGAAGGUGUGCUGUGAGGCAUGCUGGAGGUAUCAGAAGUGCGAAUGCUGACAUAAGUAACGAUAAAGCGGGUGAAAAGCCCGCUCGCCGGAAGACCAAGGGUUCCUGUCCAACGUUAAUCGGGGCAGGGUGAGUCGACCCCUAAGGCGAGGCCGAAAGGCGUAGUCGAUGGGAAACAGGUUAAUAUUCCUGUACUUGGUGUUACUGCGAAGGGGGGACGGAGAAGGCUAUGUUAGCCGGGCGACGGUUGUCCCGGUUUAAGCAUGUAGGCUGGUUAUCCAGGCAAAUCCGGAUAAUCAAGGCUGAGGUGUGAUGACGAGGCACUACGGUGCUGAAGUAACAAAUGCCCUGCUUCCAGGAAAAGCCUCUAAGCAUCAGGUAACAUCAAAUCGUACCCCAAACCGACACAGGUGGUCAGGUAGAGAAUACCAAGGCGCUUGAGAGAACUCGGGUGAAGGAACUAGGCAAAAUGGUGCCGUAACUUCGGGAGAAGGCACGCUGGUGUGUAGGUGAAGCCCCUGCGGGUGGAGCUGAGACCAGUCGAAGAUACCAGCUGGCUGCAACUGUUUAUUAAAAACACAGCACUGUGCAAACACGAAAGUGGACGUAUACGGUGUGACGCCUGCCCGGUGCCGGAAGGUUAAUUGAUGGGGUUAUCCGUAAGGAGAAGCUCUUGAUCGAAGCCCCGGUAAACGGCGGCCGUAACUAUAACGGUCCUAAGGUAGCGAAAUUCCUUGUCGGGUAAGUUCCGACCUGCACGAAUGGCGUAAUGAUGGCCAGGCUGUCUCCACCCGAGACUCAGUGAAAUUGAACUCGCUGUGAAGAUGCAGUGUACCCGCGGCAAGACGGAAAGACCCCGUGAACCUUUACUAUAGCUUGACACUGAACAUUGAGCCUUGAUGUGUAGGAUAGGUGGGAGGCUUUGAAGCGUGGACGCCAGUCUGCGUGGAGCCAACCUUGAAAUACCACCCUUUAAUGUUUGAUGUUCUAACGUUGGCCCCUGACCGGGGUUGCGGACAGUGUCUGGUGGGUAGUUUGACUGGGGCGGUCUCCUCCCAAAGCGUAACGGAGGAGCACGAAGGUUAGCUAAUCCUGGUCGGACAUCAGGAGGUUAGUGCAAUGGCAUAAGCUAGCUUGACUGCGAGCGUGACGGCGCGAGCAGGUGCGAAAGCAGGUCAUAGUGAUCCGGUGGUUCUGAAUGGAAGGGCCAUCGCUCAACGGAUAAAAGGUACUCCGGGGAUAACAGGCUGAUACCGCCCAAGAGUUCAUAUCGACGGCGGUGUUUGGCACCUCGAUGUCGGCUCAUCACAUCCUGGGGCUGAAGUAGGUCCCAAGGGUAUGGCUGUUCGCCAUUUAAAGUGGUACGCGAGCUGGGUUUAGAACGUCGUGAGACAGUUCGGUCCCUAUCUGCCGUGGGCGCUGGAGAAUUGAGGGGGGCUGCUCCUAGUACGAGAGGACCGGAGUGGACGCAUCACUGGUGUUCGGGUUGUCAUGCCAAUGGCACUGCCCGGUAGCUAAAUGCGGAAGAGAUAAGUGCUGAAAGCAUCUAAGCACGAAACUUGCCCCGAGAUGAGUUCUCCCUGAGACUUUAAGUCUCCUGAAGGAACGUUGAAGACGACGACGUUGAUAGGCCGGGUGUGUAAGCGCAGCGAUGCGUUGAGCUAACCGGUACUAAUGAACCGUGAGGCUUAACC
rnacentral:rRNA from 1 species